AGCCCUAGCACAGGUGCUGCAUGGCCGUCGUCAGCUCGUGCCGUGAGGUGUUGGGUUAAGUCCCGCAACGAGCGCAACCCCCGCCGUUAGUUGCCAGCGGUUCGGCCGGGCACUCUAACGGGACUGCCCGCGAAAGCGGGAGGAAGGAGGGGACGACGUCUGGUCAGCAUGGCCCUUACGGCCUGGGCGACACACGUGCUACAAUGCCCACUACAAAGCGAUGCCACCCGGCAACGGGGAGCUAAUCGCAAAAAGGUGGGCCCAGUUCGGAUUGGGGUCUGCAACCCGACCCCAUGAAGCCGGAAUCGCUAGUAAUCGCGGAUCAGCAUGCCGCGGUGAAUACGUUCCCGGGCCUU
rnacentral:rRNA from 1 species